UACGUAGGGGGCAAGCGUUGUCCGGAAUCAUUGGGCGUAAAGAGCGUGUAGGCGGCCCGAUAAGUCCGCUGUGAAAGUCCAGGGCUCAACCCUGGAAUGCCGGUGGAUACUGUCGGGCUAGAGUCCGGAAGAGGCGAGUGGAAUUCCUGGUGUAGCGGUGAAAUGCGCAGAUAUCAGGAGGAACACCAACGGCGAAGGCAGCUCGCUGGGACGGUACUGACGCUGAGACGCGAAAGCGUGGGGAGCAAACAGG
rnacentral:rRNA from 1 species